rnacentral:rRNA from 1 species
AGUGAACGCUGGCGGUAGGCCUAACACAUGCAAGUCGAACGGCAGCACAGUAAGAGCUUGCUCUUACGGGUGGCGAGUGGCGGACGGGUGAGGAAUACAUCGGAAUCUACUUUUUCGUGGGGGAUAACGUAGGGAAACUUACGCUAAUACCGCAUACGACCUACGGGUGAAAGCAGGGGAUCUUCGGACCUUGCGCGAUUGAAUGAGCCGAUGUCGGAUUAGCUAGUUGGCGAGGUAAAGGCCCACCAAGGCGACGAUCCGUAGCUGGUCUGAGAGGGUGAUCAGCCACACUGGAACUGAGACACGGUCCAGACUCCUACGGGAGGCAGCAGUGGGGAAUAUUGGGCAAUGGGCGCAAGCCUGAUCCAGCCAUACCGCGUGGGUGAAGAAGGCCUUCGGGUUGUAAAGCCCUUUUGUUGGGAAAGAAAAGCAGCGGAUUAAUACCCCGAUGUUCUGACGGUACCCAAAGAAUAAGCACCGGCUAACUUCGUG